rnacentral:rRNA from 1 species
GACGAACGCUGGCGGCGUGCUUAACACAUGCAAGUCGUACGGUAAGGCCCUUUCGGGGGUACACGAGUGGCGAACGGGUGAGUAACACGUGAGUAACCUGCCCACAACUUUGGGAUAACGCUAGGAAACUGGUGCUAAUACUGGAUAUGUGCCCCUGCUGCAUGGUGGGGGUUGGAAAGCUCCGGCGGUUGUGGAUGGACUCGCGGCCUAUCAGCUUGUUGGUGGGGUAGUGGCCUACCAAGGCGGCGACGGGUAGCCGGCCUGAGAGGGUGACCGGCCACAUUGGAACUGAGAUACGGCCCAGACUCCUACGGGAGGCAGCAGUGGGGAAUAUUGCACAAUGGGCGCAAGCCUGAUGCAGCAACGCCGCGUGCGGGAUGACGGCCUUCGGGUUGUAAACCGCUUUCAGCAGGGACGAAGCUUUUUGUGACGGUACCUGCAGAAGAAGCACCGGCUAACUACGUG